rnacentral:rRNA from 1 species
AUGCCGCGUGUGUGAAGAAGGCCUUCGGGUUGUAAAGCACUUUUGUCCGGAAAGAAAUCCUGAGGGCUAAUAUCCUUCGGGGAUGACGGUACCGGAAGAAUAAGCACCGGCUAACUACGUGCCAGCAGCCGCGGUAAUACGUAGGGUGCGAGCGUUAAUCGGAAUUACUGGGCGUAAAGCGUGCGCAGGCGGUUUGUUAAGACCGAUGUGAAAUCCCCGGGCUCAACCUGGGAACUGCAUUGGUGACUGGCAAGCUAGAGUAUGGCAGAGGGGGGUAGAAUUCCACGUGUAGCAGUGAAAUGCGUAGAGAUGUGGAGGAAUACCGAUGGCGAAGGCAGCCCCCUGGGCCAAUACUGAC